AAUGGAUUUGGCGGCGUAAUAAGCCAUUUAGAGGAACCUGUCAUGUGAACGAUAGACCACGAAAAUCUUACUUUUUUUAGUGACCAGUUUGUAUAUCGUUGUUGAAAGUUAGUUUAAAUAGAAAGUUAACUAAAAUGAAUAAUUUCAUUAACUUCAAAUAAAGAUGCAGCUUAUGAAAAAGAAAUGUGUGGGUUACAAUAAUUUUGGAUAUCGGAUAAGAAUAUAAAUAUAUUUUUGGAAGUUGGAUUUAAUAGUAAAUUUUUUUUUAUUUGAUAAAGGCACUAUUACGUGUACACACCGCCCGUC
rnacentral:rRNA from 1 species